rnacentral:lncRNA from 1 species
CAGUCAAAUGUCAGACAUCAUAGAUCGGUGUCUGUUAGUUGUUUUUGUGUUUUGACUGUUUGUAUUGAUAGUAUGUUAUCUGGUCUUUACUCUGAAACUCUAAGUAAGUCCAGAUCUUGUCCAGAUCAAAAGUUAUGAACGGUCAAACCUAGUUGACCGAUCACAAAAUUACUUUCUGGGCAACCCAGGAAAAUUCCCAGAAUUUCUGACAAGGAUUUCACGGCUUCUGAUCUUGCUAGUUUUUAUGUUUUUGGUCGAAUUGUUGGUUGUAUCUUGUAAACUGGUAUGUGAUAUACACAUGGAAGUCAUUAUAACACUUCGAAAUUUAACAGGAUCGUUUAUAAUCUUGGUCAAACUAGCUUGACCGAUCUGCUUUGAUGAAGGUUCUGGAAAACCCAGAAUCUUCAAGAACCAGCCCC